UCCAGGUGGUAUUACCACUUCUCUUUCAAAGAUGGACUAGGGAAAGACAUUAAGUUUGAUCCAGCACGGCGGAGGAUCUCUCUCUCCUCUCUCUCCUCUCUCUCCCCCCUCUCCCUCACCCCCUCUCUCUCUUUUUUUUCCCCCCUUUCCCUCACUUAAAUCUCCUCGCGUCCAGCUAAGCAUGAACUCCAGAGACAGACCCCACCGGAGAGGACUGAGAUGAUGCCCACUCUGCCUGAAACAUAUUGUCCAGCACAACACUUACAUAUGUCACGAGAACUUUUCUCUGAGUUACUCAACGAUAUCUAAUCACUUGUUGCCUAUGGAGAAACAAGACCUGGUGAAACCAUGGAGUUCUCCUGAUGAAGCCUUGCCAACAUGCUUCAGCUGAAACUGGAAGGCCUCACUGGACAGUGCUAGUUCAUUCCCAUGUCCAUUUUCUCCUGGUUACACCCACCAGAACACAGUGACAAUUGGUUGCAAUUAGAGAGGAAAAGUGCCAUUGUAUUUGACACUAGGCUGGACUCUGGGGAUGUUCUGUUGCUGGGUGUGUCUCAAACUGCUGGGUGACCUCGGGUAAGGCAUUUGGGACUUAGACUUAUGAUCAGUUUAUAACAAUUUAACAAGCUAUUGUGUCUCAGUUGAACAGCAGUGACUGUCCUUGUGUGCACUUUCACCCAGAGCAAAUGGAUUGAUGUGACCCAAAGUGUAGUUAUAUGAAUAAAUUAAAUCAGUGCAAUCAGCUCUGCUGCCAUGAGAUUGUAUCCCUGAGAAGGCAACUAAUCUGGUUUAACAUUUGUGAGGUUUUUGUUUUGUUUUGCUUUUCUUUUUUUCUUUUUUUCCCUCAGGAUUGUUUUUAAUCUUCACCAGUUCCCCAGUGCAUGUCACUGGAGGAAUCGAUUUUUUAGUAGCAAUGCUGGGCAUACAGUGGCAGUGCUCAUUUAACCUGUAGUGAAACAGGUCUGGCUACUUUGCCAUUACUGUGGAGUAAGAGGGCGUGCAUGGAGCAAGCAGAUCAACUAGUGCUUGAAGAUAUUUCAGUGUCGUUGUUGGUCUGAUCCCAGUCAGCAAAGCAAAGUCUCCAUGAAUCAGAGUAUUUGUUCCUCAUGUAAAAAGGGAGGAGCUUUUACCUCCCUCUCCUUUCUCUGUCCAGGUUGUAAAUUGUAUAGUGGAAAUGUUUUCACUUCAUGUUGGUACAGAGUGCAGCAUAGUGAUGGACUGUUCUUAUCCGAGGUCUGCAUAAAAGUACAAAUAAAUCACAAGAGUAACAGAGGAAGAGGUGUGCUCACCUGUGAAUGGAGAAAAGCAGAAGGCAGCAAUCAGCUACUGAAUUUGUAAGCUUUGUUGUCUGCCAAUUAGCACUAACCUCAGAGUAGUGAUAAAGGUAUAUCCUAAGCCUCCUUUCACUAGGUAAUUUCCCUCAGUAAGAUUUUUAAUUAUUAUCUGAAGUGCUUUAUUUAUAAAGUAAUUAUUUUGGUAGAGAAACAUUAGCUUAAUAGUACAGUAACACAUGAAUUACUAUUUUAUACCACACACACACACAGGUCCCAUUCUUGGGGCAGCAUUUUACAGCAGUUUUGUCUUUUGUUGGUCAGGCAAAAUAACGCACAUUUGUGUGAGUUAAGGAUGAUAUAGGACCUACUUGAGAGCACUGAAGAAGGAUGAAGUCAAAAAAGAGCUCACAGAGCAAGACUGGUAUCUGCUACCACGAAGAGGAACCUACUUCUCAGGAGCUGCAGGGUUAUGUCUCAGAGAAUAAGAAAGAUGAAGUCAUUGGGUUGUGAAAAUAAACCAUUUCUUGCAGAAAAUACUGUACAUAAAUUUUAGUGUAUCAAGUGAAUUUCAUGUCUGUAAGUCUGUCAAACUGAUAUGUACUAGUUCCAAAGAAAUUGUUCUUUGUUUAGCUGGUUUGCACUCAAAAGCAGAGUAUUUCCGUUCGUUCUUAGGUGCUGAGUAAUGACGAUGAUGUGUUUGUUCUUAUAAUUAUGAUCACAUUUUACUAUGACAGUAAAUACUAAAGUUUAAAAGAAUGUGCUAAGAGAAGGAUCUGCUGGGGUCAUAGUCAAGCUGUCUCCCAACUCCUCUAACAAGGGUUCACACCAACAUGUUCCAGGUCUCUGACAUGAUUUCUCUUCUAAUGUAGUAGCUGCUAGCUAGCAAUUAAAUUUCUGUCUAUAGAAAAUGAGUCCAGCUGGCUUUGCUUCCUCUCCCUUGAGAAAUUCUUCAAAGUUCUAGGUUCCCACAGCAAGGCUUCCAUGGCUUCAAAGGCAUAAUUUGGCACAUGCCCACUGGGCAUGCGUUUCUCAAAGUACACACACAAAAUUUCACUGUUGAAGAUCUGUGCCCCAGGGAAGCUUCCACUCUGAGGUGAAAUUACCUCUUUCCAAAUGCCAUACUUGAACUAUGAAAGGAUACACCCUUUAACAUAAUAAUAGUGACUUCCAAAUGCAAAGACAUAGCCUCUGAUUUACAGCAAGCAUACCCACCGCAGAUUAGCUCUUGAGAUAUCUGAAGGCAAAGUAUUAUAGCAAGAGCUAUUUAUCCUAGAUUCUGCCUCAUUACAAAUCAUCCUUGUACAUUAUACUGAAGGAAUAAUAAAACAACUGCCUAUUAUCCCUUAUAGAGUGGCAGACAGAUCAAAACGCUCUCAUCCCUUACUAGUCCUCAUUCAGAUAACUGUGGCUCUGAAGUCUAACCUGAACAAGCCACACCUUUUUGAGACAACACAAGUGUUCUUGUUUCUUCCCACCACACAGAACUUUGUGAGAGAGGAAUACUGAAUGACAAGUAGCGCUCCUUCAUGCAAAGAAGCCACGUGAGGUUUGUACCUCAUACCCACCCAAGCAGCCUGUCUAAUGGCUCUCUUCUCUGAAAGCUCUUGUUGGAUCUCCUAUUCUCAGGAGCUUGCUCCAUUUGACAGUGUCUUUUUUGACACACCCAAGAAAGGUUACACAAGUAACCACAGGUGCCCUUGAGAAAGAUUUUGAUCAUGGCCCAGUACACAAAAACUUGUGAGCCUUGUCUGCUACUGUCCCGAUGCAGUGUGUCCAGACUGACUAUCUGUCUAGGUUCCCACUUCAGUCAAUGGAAAAAGACAUCCUGUAUUAUUUUCCAGAGAUAUAUAACUUAAAAUUCACUGUUAGGGUAGGUUUCUGGAAGUGAACCUCCAUAGCUAAAAAGAAGGCACAGACAACUGCUUUAUCCUAGAUGCCAAAUUCUUAACUAAAUCUAAGGAGAUAGAUAUCAUCCAAGUGGAUGAAACAAUGCCCAGAGGGAAAGUAAAGAUGUGUAAAAAUUUCAGCUGUGACUGGAUGUUUGCCGUCCUAAAAAUUUUGUUCUGUGCCUAGUUUGUGAAGGACCAAAAUAGAUACAAAUCAGACCAAUUUUAUUUCUCAGUUACAGCUGUGGAAGUGCGGUGUGGUUUUAGUGCUAGAGAUCCAAAUUAACUGCUCUUUAGGAGGAUGAGGUGUACUGCUUGGUGCCACAGAAGAACAGAGCUGGUACGCUUCAGGUUACUGCAGAGGCAAUUUCUGUGCUCAUCUCUCCAACUGAUUUUAAACUCCUCUGAUGGCUUCAGCAGGAAGGCUGGUUAGGGUUAAAGAAGACAGGGUUAAAAACAGCAAAAUGGUAGGCCCCUCUCUGCCAUUUUAUGUACCAUUUGGUAUAUAACAUCUGGUCUCAUUGAUUAUUUCAGGGGAAGGAGUGGAUGGGACCUUAAGCACCUAAUUAGGGCUUAGCUGUCUAAGCCAGCUUUGAGUAUGAGGCUGGAGCACCUAUAUAGUGAGCCUGGAGGGAGUUUGUUCUCACAGAGGAACACUGCCUUGGAUCUUGCUUCCCACUUUUGUCUCACUGAACCUGAACCUCAGCCUGCAGAGCAAUAGCAUCUUCUCAGUCUAGUUUUUGAGGGCUCAUUUAAGCUUUGGGGAGCUUCUUUUAGUUAAAAAUUGAGUGCCAGUGUUUCUAUCUGUUAAAGCAUUUUGUAUUUGCAAUAACUUCUGUACUUAUGACUUCUGAUUCAUUACAAGAAGAUUUAAUUAAUUAUAACAUCCUUAGCUUUCUCAGGACACCACAGGCUUGUCUGUAGUCUUUCCUCUCCUAGUCUGCUUUGUUAUCUAUAAUAUUUCUUUAUAUGAAACGGGUGGUCACACAUCAGAGGUUGUUCCGGUUAGGAAGCUAAACCAUUGAUGGAGUCAGGCCCUUUCUUGGCUUCAGUUCCACCUAUUUACAAAGAACAUGCCAACUUCCCUUUCUCAGCCUGCAGAUGCAAUCAAACCACCAAAGACAGUAUCUUUGCUUACAGCAUCACAUUUUUGUGUUCAGUACCCAGAGUAAGUUCUCCCUUUAGGCUUUAUGCCCAGAUAGUUUCCUUUUAGCUGCUGUGUUUAGAGCUUAUUUCUCCUUCUGUUUCAGCUACCUUGUUUUCUUGUGCAUGCAUACACACAAAUACACCCUUACCCAAAGCAAUAACCAUCAGUACCAUCUGCCUACAUUAUUUAAGAUUUAGGGUGUACUUUUGCCUUGUCUCAGAAACCUGUAUUACCUCAUCAAAGAACUACUUGGCUCUGUUAUCUCAGAUGAAGGGUGGUGGUUACUUCCAUCAGCUUCAAUGCCUCUUUUCCCAGUUUUGAACAAUAGUACAUCAUGUUCACCCUGUCUUUGCCCUUACAGGAUUUUCUACUUGAUUAUCUUUAAUUUAUCUUUGUACUGCUUUAUUUGGCACUAAAAUACAGAAUGGACAUGCUGGGGCUGAAUUCCCCUCUCACUGACAGUUCUACUAUCUUCUAUCUCCACAGAUAAUAGUGGAAAUACUUUUGAUGUACAUCCAUAAAUGAAAGAAGAGAUAGGGCUUUGUUUUCUUCAUUUCUUUUGUCAAGUACUGCUAGGGUUUUUGUUUGUUUGUUUGUUCUCUUUUUUAUUUCUCUGAUACCUCAGCUUUUUUUUAGCUGGCUUUUAAAGAGAGCUUGUAACUUUAAGCAACGCUAAGGGAUAAGACUAUCUGCAGACUGCAAGGAAAUUACAUCUAAAUUAAGAGAAUAGAGGUUAAAGCCAGUUUUUUGUCUAUCAAACAACCAUCUCUGGAAUUAGGAAAAUAAUGCUCUUACAGUUAGGAAGCUAUUAGCUGUUAAAGCUUUUAGAUGUUUCCCUUGUCAAACAACAUCUGAUGGCCAAAAGCCAUGCUGACAGGGAUUCACUUAUGUCAUGGGCUUUCUUUGGAGAGAAAUACAAAGAAACAUAUGGGUCAUUAUGACCCACCCCUUCAUUACCACUGUGGAAAUGCAGGUUUUUUACAACAGAAUAACAUCUCUGCGAUACCUUGGUUGUCAAAAACCACAAUUAUAGUCAUUGUUUAUGCAUUAGGGAAACCUCAUCCUAAACCUGGCACCAUAUGGGGGUGAAAAGAGCAGCUGCUGACAUUUCAGGAUAAUCAUUAUGAUCUAGAUGCAGAUAUGACUCAGCAUGAUGAGCCUGACAACAAGAACAAGAAAAAAAGCAAAGCAGCAUAGGCAGGUUUCAAAUGUCCCUUCAAGGCUCCAGCCCAAAUGCAUUUCUAAGGGGAGAGGCUUUCAACAUGCAUCAAGUGGGACAGGUCCUUAGGAUCUCCACAUGGAAAGCUUGAGCAGGGCUCCAGGCCAACAUAGACAAAAGGGCUGUUGAUAUUUAUGUCUGUUGUAAUCCAAGGAAGAAAAAUAAUUAUUAACUGCCCAGAAAGAGUUUUGGAAUAUUGUUUUUUCCCCUUGUUUUUGUGAACAAUGAAACUAUGCCAAGCAAAACUAUGUAAACAGCCCCACCUCCCUGUUUUCAGCCCCUCUCUGAAGCACUAGCUCAUCACUUUUCAGUCACUUUGGAGUUCAACUGAUUCCCUUUUAGCAGAAAAUAACAGAGAUACUUAGCUUCUUCUAUGCUGCCCCACUGGUAUUAUUCAGUGUCCCUGAAUUCUUUCACCAGGCCACUACCUUCUCCACAUUCAAUCUACCUAUUCUCUUGCUAUGAUGCCUGCAGGAAAUGUUGCUGUUGAUGACCUUCUGAAUGUUCUAAUUCCUGGGUCUCUUUUAGCCCUUCUGUUCUUGGCAUGUUAUUUCCCAAGGCAGGGCUGCUGUUUCUGUGCAUGCAUCUGAAGUAUGGAUGUCAUGGAAGAAAAUCAUGUAGAAAAGGCACUACACACAACUUCAAGAAAAUGCUAGACCACUGAUAUGUAUAUCCAAAGCCUUGUUCUGGUACAUUAGAUCUGAAAAACAUUAAUAGUUGUGUUUACUCCAUGAAUAUGUAGUCCACAUUCCUUGUGUCGUUCUCAGCCUUUUGGUUUGGAAGAUUGUGCCAUUUUUAAGGAAGAAAUAUAUGCUCUAACCUCUAACUCAAUGAGAGGCAUAUAAAUUAGAAAAUGGAAAUGCAAGUCCAUUCUUCAGAAAAUGCUUAUUUUGGUAAUGGAUGAGGAGUUCAAGUAGUGCCUGUAAUAAGGCUGAGAUUCACUUAUACUUUUGUCACAGUGCUUUUCUCAUCACCUGUUCAUCAUGUGGUGGGGAUGGGCCUGAAUUAGGGUGGAUGUAAUUCCUGGUUUGUAAUGGUGUAGGGGCCAGAGGGCCUUGGGCAAAAGCAAUGCUAAGACCAAGCUUCUGGCCACUUCUAUGUCAAUUUGACAGAUUGCAAGUCAUCUUUUCCAUCUGAUCGAAGGCCUCAGUAAAGAACAGGACAGAAAAAUGUUGGUUGGAUAAGCUAUUCUGGCCUUUGGAAGCUGGCCUGGAGGCUGUAAGUUGGUAAUUUAUCCUUUAUUCAAAAAAAUCUACAAGAAAACAAAAAACAACCAGACAAAACAAACCCCCCAAAUGUGACAAAAGCCAAACAAAUAAAAAAAUUCAUACAAAACCAGAAAGUCAUAUAUAGAAUCAAUAUAAUAAUAAUCUGAGCCCCCAAGCUGAUUUGUAGGUGCUAACCUACUAGGAUGCUUUUUCCAAACAUUGGAGGGAAUUUAGAUUUUUCACAACCUGUACUGACAUCUUUAAAAGAAAGUCUCUGCUGUUUUGGUUAUUUCUGGAGAUUCUUCUACAGCUUAAAUAUUCUGUUUUCUUCUAAGAUUAUAUAAAUUUUCAGAUACAUGUAAGCAGCCUGAUUCUCCAAAUUUCUGCCACACCAAUUUGAAAAGAUACUGUUUACUAACUAAUAAAUAUAUUUAAGUAUUUUUUCUGUCUGCUUUUGGAUGUGUAGGAGGGAAAUGAAGCUAGAGAGUCUAUGACCUGUGCUCUUACAGUAGAUAACCAAAUAUUUAUGUGUUUAUAAUGAAUACAUGUUUAAGGUUCAGCAUUGCUAUCUGUACCUAUUAUUACUGUUGUGUUAACAUCAUUAUUAGUUUGCACUGUGGUAGAGAUCCCCCUAAAGAUCAAAGUGCCUUUGUAUUAUGCUCUGCAUGAAGAAAAUGAGAGGCCCUGCUCCCAUGCUAAUCACCUCUGCUCAUGCUUCAGCUGCACAAAUGUUAUACUUGUAAAGUAGCUUCUGAGAGUAUAGUCUUGGACAUCAGGGGUGGAAAACACAAUACCAGAUGAGCUACCUCUGUCAUACUGUUCUUCAGAGAAUAUGUUCUUCAGAGACUACAUCCUUACAGAUGCAUGGCUACAUCUGGUUUUGUACAAUUUGACUUGUUUAUAUACUCUAUUAAUUGCUCUAUCAAUGGCUCUUUAAUGAUUUGGUCAUUUUGUCUGAUGUAUUCUUGCACAACACUGAGAUCUUUUCUCUGUAAGGUUGAAGUAUCACAUGACUUGAUUUUUUGAGCAUUCUCUGUAGCUCAGGACAAAGAAUGUGGUUGUUUGAUUAGUGCUGAAGGUUUAGAGGUGUGUGAAUAUGAAGAGUUUUCAUAUAUUUGGUGUACUUCAAUGAGCAGGUGCUUCACUGUUCUGGGAACCUACUCUCCAGUGUUACUAACAGUUUUGGUGCAUAACUACAGCAAAUGUAAUUUUCCUUGCAGGGAAGAAAUAUGUGAUUCUAAUUUAACAUGGACCAUGUAGAUAAUUAUUCUCUUCUUAUUAUUGGAAACAAAAUAUAUUCCAUCGUGCAGUCAAAUGGCAAUUGCUUACUGGGCAGGCCAUUUAAAGAAAGCUGUGUGUUACCUGUAGAAUUGUUACUCAGGACAGAAACACGUUUAUGACUCAGGUGUCAAGUGUGACUGCUGAGUUGUGUUGUCUGCUCAUGAGUUUUGUUGCUUCAUAUUUUACUUUCUCAUUAGUGUGAUCUGUUUUAAGGAAUGGGGAAAAUUACCACACCUUGGUUAAAAACCCAAUAUAUUUAUAUCACAGGCAGGACCUUGCAUUGUGGCUGAAUAACAUGCUUUGUCAGACCAGUAAAACUGAUGUGAAUAACUCAAAAGGUUUUUGCUCAUCUUCAGCAACACCUUCUAAACAGUUGCAAUAUCUCAACUAAAGCUUCAUUCUCAACAAGCUGUUGACUCUAUGUCCUCCAGUGGGAGAGCUGUGUUUGUGGCAGCCCUGGUUAGAAAAGACAGCUGCUUUUCCAGCUGUGAUGUUGAAAUCCUGAUUUAGAUGCCAAAGCAGAAAAAGUUGUUUUUUAAAACAACAAUGGUAGCAAAAACUGUCCUUCUAACAAAUGUGUGGUAUUAUUCCUCAAUUCAUUUUUAAGACAUUUUGUUUCACUUCCCACUUAACAGUAUACAGAAGGAAACAAUAAAACUGGCAUCACAGAUCUGAAGAGUAGCUCUUGGGCUGGUCUAGAGGAAAAUAAGGAGCACGAGGCUGAGCCAAGAACAUGUGUGGAGACUUGGCACUAUGAAAAUAAUCCGAAUUCCUACUCCUAUCCCCUCUGCUUUUUGUAUGUCCUUUCUAGGCAAUGUGACAAUGUGUUUUCUUACUGGGUACAUCACUGCUGGAGACAGGAUGUCCUCUGGGGCUCCUCCAAUAGGAGAAUGAUUUGUUGGUUUAGCAAUCAUUAACUCAUCCCUAUUUCUUUAACGCAAAUUAAAGUUGGCAGCAAAGUAACCUCAUGCUGCUCAGUGGCAGCUCCUUGGCAGCUCCAUAUUCUCCUUGGUUAGGUCCCCUAUGCCAACCAAGCCAUGGACUUCAGAAAUUGUUUGGAGUGCUUCAGCUGGCUUGCAAUCAGACAUAUGUUCCCAGAUCUGUACUGGCAGGUAGCUGAAAGACCUCUCAGAAAACAUCCAGGGUUUUCGUCAAAAGCACAAAUGCAUGUAUUAGCAAAGCUAUUUACAACUGGAAGUAAGGAGAUGGACACCAUGUACAAGUAUCUAAUUAUCUAGUAAAAGAAGACUUUUAGGUUACCAAGCAGUCAGUACUAGGGUAUUUAGGUACAUACAAAUAAUUUUGGGUUAGGUUGAGGUCAGCAGUCUCCACUGAUUUCUAAGGCAUUGAUGGGAAGGUAUCUGUAACAUUCAAAAGGCUGCUGACAACAUCAAUCAAAACCUAUUAUGUGACAUGUUAUUUACUUGGAGAUCUGCUGUAUUAAAAUGCCAUGUGGUUGGAAUCAGAUAAUUUUAAUUGUUAUCACAUGUAAUUGUCAGCCACAUAAUCGUGUCUUACCGAUCUUUAACAGUGUUUGUUUUUCAGACUUCUUUCCUGAGGCCUGAGCUCUUUGUGGAUUAUUUCAGUGGUCUUUUUAAUAUCAAAAAGAAAACUAAAGUUUUCAGAGACCGGACAUCACAGUGAUCCUACAUCUAAACAAUGGACUGUCUGAUGUUAAACCAACAUUGUAAUCCGACUUUCCCAAAAAUUUCAGAGCUCAUUAUAAAAUGCUCUUUAGCUGUAAAAGCAGCAAUGGAGCUUUUUGUUCUAACCAUGCAAAAGCAAACAGACAGAUUCUGCUUUUACUCACAUUGUUUUGAAUGGAUUUGCUCUCUGUUUUCACUAAUGUCGCUGGCCUAGAAAAUUUCUGGAAGAUAUGUUACAAAAUGGAAGAAGGAAGGAUGCUAACAGCUAUUAAUUGUAAUUUGAUAGAAGCACAAACUAUCUGAAGAUAUAUUAUGAUAUUAAUUAUUUAAAAAAUAGCACUGGGCACACAUGCAUUUCAAAUCAUAUAUGGUGGCAGUAUUUUCCUGAUCAGUCUAUUAAGAUCUGUGCAACUAAGAUGAAUUCCAUUUCUUCACUGUAUUUUACCUCAGAUUUUUAACUAAAAAAUAAGGGCUGCUCACUCCAGCAACUUGCAAUGUUGCAAGAUAAGUUGUAUUUUACUCUGUACUAAAUUUCUAAACUGUACUAAACUGUUUGUUAAACUUUUUAUUUCAUAAUACCCCUUAAGAUUAAACAAUUAUAAUCCAUCUCUUUAGAAGACACUUUUUAAGCAAUUUUCUUAAUGAGACACAAACAGAUGAGAAAAUGUUGGGUCUGGUAAAUUUGCAGAUAUUUAUACUCAUAAAAUAUCAAUUUGCUUAUAUAUUUUUACACUAUUUCCACUAUCUCUUCUUAUAUUAAAUAAAAAAAAUCUUGUUUUGGCUAAAGCUUAGAUUCCUCUUGGCCUCAUAAGAGCUCAUAAAAUGCAUCUGGUAAUUUUUUUUCCAGCUCAUAAUCAUCUUUAUUCUUAGAAAACCACCUUUUUAGUGGUUUUAGUCUGUCUGGCUUAAAUUUCCAGACCUUGGUGCUCCUGCUGGAUGGAAGUGUCCUUAACUUGAUAUUUCCCUGCUGUGAAUGUCUCCUGUGAACAACUGACAUCUUCCCGUCUUCCUCCUGAUAAAAUCAACAUGGAAUUCUUUAUUUUAUAGUUUGAUUUUUGUUUACUAUAAGGAAUUAAUCUUUGAAUAAUUUUGUGGUUCUUUCUUUUACCGUUCUUGGUUUCUGUUGACUGCUCAGUUUUCGUCAUUGUAUACCAUCCUGCCAAACUCAUGUCAUUAAGAGAUUGCAUUUAGGGAUGUAUUUGCAAGGCCAUUGGUUAAGUUAUUAAAGAACAUGAAGCCUUGUACAGAACUCAAAGAAACAUUGGGAACAUCCACUCAACUGCAACUUCCAGCUGAUGCAUCUAUUUUGGAGGUCUGUCAGACAGUUUUUAAUCUGUUUGAUAUGUGUUAUAUUGCUAUUAGAAAAUACUAGAAUCAUAAUAGUAUGUCCAUUACUGUGGAUAUGAAUUUAAACCUUCCUUUCUCCUUGUUCCUUCUGUACUACUAUACUAGCAGAGUGUCUUCCACAUAGAAUAACUACCACUAAAGGAGUCCCAUUGAAGAGACUUGAUAGACUUGACCUGGCAUUUUCUCUACAUCAAGAUUUAACAGCAAAUACUUUAUUUGGCUAUUGAGCACAUUUUUUUACUGGUUGAAUAACUACUUAACUAAGCUGAUAUCAGUAAAGAAUUCAAUGGUGUAAACGCUUAACUGCAAAUAUCCAUUGUGAGUUACCUUCCAGUCUUCACUUUGAUUUGUGCUGAAUAUUACAGUAUAUAUCCAGAAAGCAGAAAGAGAAAAGCCAUUAAUGACACACACACAAAGACAGUAUUACAUUUGAAAUUGUGACUCUGAAAUUCAAAGCAUGAUGAUUUUAGUGUCUCAUGCUAAAAGCUGAUCCAUUGUAAGCGCUAAAACAAGCAUAUGCACUAUUGAAAUCAGGAAUCUGUGUUGUUGGUAUUCUUCAAGUUGCAUAAUUGAAAGAGACGUGUGCAACCAAUUUAGCUAUAAAGCAAUGACAGAGAAAUUAGCUUCUACAAGCUCUGACUAUUCAGUAUGCUUAAUGUACCUAGGGCCCCAAAAUAUAUGUAUUUAUUACCAAACCCUGUGGAUAAACAGAAGUAAAUCGCCCUGAGAAAAUCUGCUGCUAGCAGUAUUCUGUGGUUGGCAUUCAAGUUAAAUUGUUUUCAAUGCAACUACCGUGGAGCAUUUGUACCUAAAGUCUGAAAGACUUUUAAUAUGAGGCUAAGUAAUGUCCUAUAGCUAAUAUACAUUAAUAUUAACAGCAUGUAUAACAUAAACAUGCCUAAGCAAUUAGUAUAACAGUGCAAAAGAAGCUGAGAGGAGUUAGAUGCUUACAAGGCAAAGGUCUGUGUAUCUCCAUGACCUUGCCAUGGCCAUUACAGAUCUUCUGACAUCCAGAGGUAAGGAAUCAUUAUGGUAUCUCUGAGUGCAAGAUUUCUUCAUUUGCAUCAGAUUUGGUUGUUAUGGUUUGAGUUUUUCUCAGCAUGUGUGUCUCUGGCACUUCCUCUCUAGUUAAUCAUCUGAAGAUGACACUUCAUCAAAAAUGUCAGGGUAAAUUAGGACAAAGUCUACAAAAAAUUGUGGUUUAGCUUAGAAGGAAUUUCAGUUGUGGACAAAAAUCUUCAUUCUGCCUAAAAAGAAAUUAUUUUUUGACUGCAGCAACCUUAACAGUGAACAUCAGAUCAGCUGACCCCUGAAUUCUUGAGGGAAUUAACGUUCUUCGGCUUUAAAAAUACAUUGAGAUAUUGUUGCAAUAACCUGGAGUAUUGACUGCACAUCAGAUGAUGGCUCCUGAUAAUUUUCUUCCAGAUGACUGUUAUGAAAAGGGAUUCCUAAAACAGAAAUGUCUCCAUCUCCCUCAAGCAGUAAUUAAAAAACCCCAGCAAACCAAACAAGCAGUUGGCUGAAUUCAGUGUUCACAUACAUGUGCCAUUUCCUGUUUGCAAUCAAUGAGUAACUUCUGCAUAUACCCCAGGGCAAAGCUUGGCUCAUCAUAGUUACACUUUAACAUUAAUUUAGGAUGAUUAAUGAUCAAGUCAGUAGCCAUGUAGUAUCUGUGACUUUUAUCCUAACACUGCUUAACUUUAUAUUAUUUUUUAAUUUACAGCUGCCAUGGAAAAUGACCAGAAAUCUACUAUCUGAGAAAACCCAUCCAUCAUCUUCAGGCAAUCUUCCAAUCUGUUAACUUUAGCUGCUACUAAUAAGUGUCUCAGUCCAGGAAAAGCAAUUAUUACGAUGUUUCACAGAACAGCUUCCAGAUAACAUAUGAUGUAAACUGCUCUUGGGCAACAUUUCUUCUAAGGAAACUAGUCUUUUUUUUUUUUUUUUUCAGUAUGCAACUUUACCAAUGGAAGUAUGAUAAAAACAGAGGUAAAGAGGAAGAGCUGUUGGAAAUGAGGUUUGACCAUAGCUACUGCACCCUUUUACACCUCCCAAAGAGGUGUAAUCUUGAGUUGCAAUGCCCUUGUUAUGGUUUGAUCAGUUAUGGUUUUGAUCGGUGUGCAGACUGUCAGUAAGGGUGAGAGAUGUUACAUGUGACUGAGAUAUGGUCACUAACAUGAUACACCACACAGAGCCAAACCAGACAGCCUGGUUUGACUGCAGGUUCACAUCCAGAGAGUUUGACCUCAUCGACUCUCUAAUGUAACCAGCAAUGCAAAAUGAGCCCAGCUCUGUGUGUUGGCAUCUCUAUUUUGAUUCUUGCUACUUUGAGGCCCUCAGUGAGCAUGCAGCAGCACAGUUCACCUGUUCAGUGUGCUGCAAGUGGCAGUCACUUGCAUUUCUCUCAGUCCUCAGUCUCCACAGCACAAGGGAAGGCUGCCGUGGCAGGGGGGGGUGCCAGUGAGAGGCACUGCCGUGGGGGUGGGGGAGAGAUGGAGGCCUCUUCAACGUAAUCAUGGACCAUUGUUAGGUGGCUUAGAUAGAUAUCCUAAUGGAUGUGAACCCACCUGAGCUUCCAGUGAAGAGGGCUUCCUAUUAGAAAAGGGGAAACCAAAGCAGGAGAGUGUCAAACAAGAAGUAUAUGGUUUAUCUAUGACUACCUUCACUGUAGCCUGAUUUCUGUAAUGAGGCACCUCUGUCAGAAGAUGAGGAGGAAAAUUUGACAACUCCCCUGUGACAAAAAACUUACAUUGGCAAAGUCUACUUUCAUAUCCCGGAGCCAAUAGGAUCAAUCAGAUAAUAAUAUGGUGGCAUCUCAGCAAGUCUCUCUGAUUAAUUUUGGGGGCUGGUUAAUAUCACACAACUUUUUAGAAAGUUUCUCAUGACUAAUACCUGGCUGUUCUUCACGUGUCCUUGUGAGCAGAUGUUACCUUGUGACUAACUGACUUUCUGUCUGCCCUUGCUAGACUCUUUGACUUUGAAGGCUGACAACAUUUAACAUGAUUCCAGACACCCAUCUACCUCAUCAGACUGAAUGACUUGCCUUUCAAUUCCACUUCUCUGUAUUAUAGGCUGUCUUGGUAUGUUUAGAUUUCUGGUUGCAGAUUGCUUUCUGGUCCCUGAAGUAUUAGAUACUACUAAGGAAAGCAUGAUCUGUAUUCCUUCCAAAAAUUUCAGAUAAGUGUGCUAGAUCUUUCUGUGUAAUAUGUAAUCCAAACCUAGAUACCCAUUUACAUUCUGAGCAAAGGUUUUGUCUUGAGUGCCAUCAUUAAGCUGUUUGCCUUUAAUUGUUGAAGAGUGAUAGAUGCCAGCAAACAAUUUGAUCUAACAAGACAUCUAACAAGAGGGUAAGAUACGUUGCUGAAAGGUAAACACUUGGUGUUUGGGAGUUCUUGGCCCCUUGGACACCCUGCCAAUAAGUGCCUGGAAAGGCUGAUUUUGCCAUCAGGCAUGCACGUUGAUCAGAGUUUGGUUAUAGGAAAAUCUACAUUCUUCUUGCAGUUCAUAGGUAGUUAAAAGUAUUCACCAAUUUAGUUAAGUGUCCUUUGUUCUCCUAGGCAGUAGUUCUACUGUAGUAAGACGGAAAGUGUUAAAAUUAAUUUCCUUAGGAUAGGAUGCAUUGAGAACUUCUGCCUUGUUUUUUUUUUGUUGUUUUUUUUUUCCUUCAAGUGAACAGGUUUUGGGCAUCAGUGAUGUAACAUAUUAAAAUAUGAUAAUGAAAUUGUGAGCAGGAAACAUUUAAUGGUACCUGCUUGAUUCCUGACAGCAUUAUGGUAAAAAUAAAAAUGACAUUUCCAAUUUGGCAGAUACUGUGUAGCAUUAACAGAGAGUCCAAUGAUUUCAAGGAUAGAAAUUCUUAUAUGCCUGGUGAACUGAAAAAAGUGCUACUUCUUUCUGUAUGUUAUAGGAGAACAUUCUUUUUUAAAAAAAUGUAAAUUAAGAUAUCAAAUUUAAACUCAUUCUUUGCCAUCAGUUUGAAACCAGAAAUUGUCACUUCUUUCCUAGAGAAACCCAUUUUCAUUGAGAGUGACUCUGGCCUUUCUGGUAUUACUCUGUUAUUUUAUUUCUCAGCAAUGUGCUCAGCCUCUACAGUACAAACCAUUGAUGAAUAUAUUUUUUUCAUCCAGAUAUUCAUUUUCUUGUAUAAGACAGUCUGAUUCUCUAAAUCUUUUAGACCUAUCACUCAGUUUACAUGCACAACAGAUCUUUGACAGUUCUAUAUUUCUUCCUAAAGCAGAAAGUCAAGAGGAAAUAAAAAUGAAUUCUUAUGCCUAAGUAUUUGAAAAUUACUCUGGUCUAGAUGUCACUAAGGUACAAAUGUCAUAGUACAUAUUUAAAAAGAAAUCACCAGAUGCAGAAUACAACAUUCCAGACACACCAGAUUGUAUUCCUAUUCAUACAAGCUUUUUGUCUGAGUAAUUUACUCUCCUGAGAGUUAGGAGAAAUUGGGUGACAAUUUUUCAGUUUUGUACUUUGCAACUUACUGAGGUCCCCAAAUUCAUAUUUCCUUACACUCUUCUUUUGUACUCUCUGUAUUUGUCAGAAGACCUGUGUGAAUGAAAAUAGAUCCAAAAUCUAAAUUGCUUUUGGGGCUUGGUUCAAACAGGAUUAGCAGCCAUAGAAGGAUCUCACCAAAGGUUUCCAUGACUUCCAGUCACAUCAUUAAUGGAGACCUUCUGAACAUUUUAGUCUUCUGCCUUUCAUAUGAAGAGAAAUAAUGAUCCUGCAUUUGAAAAACAUUUUGAUAUUGUCAGGGAUGUAGACAUUAAUCACUGUUAUACCUCUUUACAAAGAGUAAGAAAUACCGUUUAACAGAAAGACCACGCUUUAUUAUAUUUACAACAAUGGAAACUGGAAUAUAACAUUUUUAUUUAAAAAUCAAGCCACAGAUUAGGUUUUGAUUGCAGUAUUUUGUACUGAAAAUAAGAAUAAGAAAGCAAUUAAGUAUUCAUAGUCAUGCUCUCACACAAACACCUUCCAUGGUGAGCCUGUUUAUGCAACUGAGUAUGCCAUACAAUUGCUUUUAUUACCUUCUUAUAAAACAGCCUGUAUAAAACACUUUUUUUUUGAUUGUUUCUUUGUGUAUUGUUGAGCGUGUUUGCAUUCUAAAGGGCUUUGCCUCAUUAAAGCAAUUACCAUAAA